CUGUCGUCAGCGCGUGCCGUGAGGUGUUGGGUUAAGUCCCGUAACGAGCGCAACCCUCAUCGCUAGUUACACUCUCUAGCGAAACUGCCUCGCAAAGCGGGGAGGAAGGUGGGGAUGACGUCAAGUCAGCAUGGCCCUUAUGCCCUGGGCUACACACACGCUACAAUGGGUGGUACAAUGGGUUGCCAAAGAGCAAUCUGGAGCUAAUCCCUGAAAACCAUCCUCAGUUCGGAUUGCAGGCUGAAACCCGCCUGCAUGAAGUUGGAGUUGCUAGUAACCGCAGGUCAGCAUACUGCGGUGAAUGCGUUCUCGGGCCUUGUACACACCGCCCGUCACGUCAUGAAAGCCGGUAAUACUUGAAGUCAAUAAUCUAACUCAUCGUAAGAUGAGGGGAAGUCGCCGAGAGUAGGAUUGGUAAUUGGGACGAAGUCGUAACAAGGUA
rnacentral:rRNA from 1 species